UUCACUUUACCUUUAUUUUGUCCUUAUCAUUAAAACUCAAAGUUUUCAAGGUCUUUUCAUAAGUUUUUUUUUUCUUUUAACCUGUUCUUGGUUUUUUAAACCCACACACAUGAUAUGUGGUACAGAAAAAGAUAAACAAAUGAUAAAAAAAUCGGUUGUAGGACGAAAAACUGAUUAAAAAAUAUCAGAUAUUCAACCCGACCACAGGAUUGUGGCACAAAAAGGAUAAAAAAUGAUAUUCUAUUCUAUAUAUACUAAAGCUCAGCGGAUGGGUACUGUUCAUUAACAGUGCCCAUCCGGUUUUACCCCUCUUUCAUUUUUGUUUGCAGCUUGCUCCCGUUUGAAAGGUGCUUUUUGGUGUUUUUGGUUGAGCUUUGGCCACGUUGCGUUUUGUAGGAAAGAUACUGGAAGAGCAUUACACCUUUACUUCCACUUCCAGCAUCUUUCACUUUUUCAUUUCCUGUUCUUUUCUUCUCUCUGUUUUUCCGUCUCUCUUUGCGUUUCUCUGUGUGUGACUCGCUGUUUUUAUCGCGAUCCGAUCGUUUAGAAGGGUGGUUGAUCUGUUUUUUCCCGCUGUUUUCCGCAGAGGAAUCGCAACGAUUUGGGUGCGUUGGUUGUUGUGUGCCAUUAUUCUGUGCUUGGUUGGAAACGUUUAUCUUCCAACUUUAGGGUUUUGUUGUGGGAGUUUGCAAACCCUUUCUGGGCCAGGUUGAUCAUGUUGUUUCAUUUUGUGAAACAGUGUAGCCUUUGUCAAUCAAAUGCUUUGCUGAAACAUCCAAUAUGAAGAAUAAAAUAACUAUGGUAAGAAGCAACCUAAUUUCAGAAAUUUUAUGUGAUUCAGUUUUUAAAUUAUAAUCUUCUAAAAACCUUUUGUAGAUUGCAGAGCCAUUGGAGAGAGGACUUGCUGAGGACAUUGAGAAUGUAUAAAAGCUACAGUGUUCGUUUCUGCAUUGCAGAUGCCUGAUUUUCCGACUAGGCGAUUCCGGCCGAUGACCAGAGAACUAGACCUCGCUACUAUCGGUGAAGAUAAUACACACGGUAACAGAGUACUCCUGCACCUCUAAAUAACGGGUCAACAACCCAACUCCAAACUAGCAAGCAACAGACCAUCCAUAACCCUCAUAAAGUCGAAUGGGCCACCACCAGGAAGGCCCCUCCAAACCCUCAGCAUCAGCAUCUUGAAUUCCUUUGAAGUGAAUGCCAAACUGCGGUGUGAUGUUCAAACUUUGUGGCCUUUUGAAAUAGUUGGGAGCAUAAUUCAUUCUACUACAGAUUGUUCCCCUUUCCAUUUCCAUGAGGAAGAUGAGGAGACAAAAAUAAGUACAAAGGGAUGGAUUUAGCUUCCACUUUUGAGGUUCCAGGCACCCAAAAACUGUCGACUGGUACCCUGGAAUUAACAAUGUAGCUGGAGUUCUCUACUGGCUUAAGCACAGUAGAGAACUCAAGUACAGAUCUCUCUAUCUGUUUCUCAAUCCUAGAACCUCUAGCCUCCGCAAGAAGGAGCAGUUUGAAGGAUUAAAAUGUUGUCAUUUGGUAUAGAUGAUCUUGGUUUAGCAAAUUGAUAGCGAGAUGGAACACCCCUAACUGCGUUGUAAGUUCGACUCACUCAUCCUAUAAGAGUUGCUUCAUAAUUGUAAUAUUCAAAACCAGAUGACUUUUUCAGUUAUGGUUCGAUUAUUAUUUUCCUUUUCAGUUGUUAUUCUUCAUUUUUGAUGUGGUUGCUGUUUGUGAUUUCCAUUCCAUGUGAUCCAUACUCUCAGUUUUCUUUUCAGAAUUCCUCUCUUUGCCUUUUCCCAAUGUUAAUAUUUUUC